rnacentral:rRNA from 1 species
GAUGAACGCUGGCGGCGUGCCUAAUACAUGCAAGUCGAACGGGGAGUAGCAAUACUCUUAGUGGCGAACGGGUGAGUAACGCGUUGGUACCUGCCCCGAAGCGGGGGAUAACGGACCGAAAGGUCCGCUAAUACCCCAUGUGCUCGGUAACGAGUAAAGGUGAAAACCACUUUGGGAGGGGCAUGCGUCCCAUCAGCUAGUUGGUAAGGUAACGGCUUACCAAGGCGAUGACGGGUAGGGGACCUGAGAGGGUGGCCCCCCACAAUGGAACUGAAACACGGUCCAUACACCUACGGGUGGCAGCAGUAGGGAUUAUUGGUAAUGGGCGCAAGCCUGAACCAGCAACGCCGCGUGUGCGAUGACGGCCUUCGGGUUGUAAAGCACUUUUGACUGGGACGAGGAAGGACGGUACCGGUCGAAUCAGCCUCGGCUAACUACGU